UACGUAGGGUGCGAGCGUUAAUCGGAAUUACUGGGCGUAAAGCGUGCGCAGGCGGCGCGUUAAGACAGGUGUGAAAGCCCCCGAGCUUAACUUGGGAAUUGCGCUUGUGACUGGCGUGCUGGAGUGUGGCAGAGGGAGGUGGAAUUCCACGUGUAGCAGUGAAAUGCGUAGAGAUCGGGAGGAACACCAGUGGCGAAGGCGGCUCGCUGGGCCGGACCUGACGCUGAGACGCGAAGGCGUGGGGAGCGAACGGG
rnacentral:rRNA from 1 species